rnacentral:misc_RNA from 1 species
AACUGGCGAAGCAAUCCGUUUCAAUCUUUUAUGCCUCCCGAAGCCUCGGGGGGCAUAAAAGAUUGUAGCGAAUAGCAGGAAUAAAG